GACGAACGCUGGCGGCGUGCUUAACACAUGCAAGUCGAGCGGUAAGGCCCUUUCGGGGGUACACGAGCGGCGAACGGGUGAGUAACACGUGGGUGACCUGCCCUCAGCUCUGGGAUAAGCCUGGGAAACCGGGUCUAAUACCGGAUAUGACUCCAUGACGCAUGUUGUGGGGUGGAAAGCCUUGUGCGGCUGAGGAUGGGCCCGCGGCCUAUCAGCUUGUUGGUGGGGUGANGGCCUACCAAGGCGACGACGGGUAGCCGGCCUGAGAGGGCGACCGGCCACACUGGGACUGAGACACGGCCAGACUCCUACGGGAGGCAGCAGUGGGGAAUCUUGCGCAAUGGGCGAAAGCCUGACGCAGCGACGCCGCGUGAGGGAUGACGGCCU
rnacentral:rRNA from 1 species